rnacentral:snoRNA from 1 species
GCUGGUGUAAAUGAUGACUCAGAUUUUUUUUCCCCCAUCAGAUCGACCUUGCUGAUGUCUUUGAAUUUUUGCCAGUUUAGUUCUGAUGCACCAGC